rnacentral:rRNA from 1 species
GAUGAACGCUGGCGGCGUGCCUAACACAUGCAAGUCGAACGGAAAAGCCCGGAUUUUGUGCGGUCCUCGUGAGUCGAACACGUGAGAAAAACGCGAAGAACAUCUCCCUGAUUGUGGGAUAAAUCCAGGAAAAUGGGGCUAUAAUCGGGCAGAACAGCCUGCUUCACGGGGGGGGUAGGAAAGUGUCGCCGUUUCGGCAGUAGCACAUGGACUUGCGGUUUAUUGGCCUGUUGGUGGGUUAACGGCGCUCCAAGGGGUAGAUGGGUAGCCGGCCUGAGAGGGGGACCGGCGACAUGGGGACUGAGAGACGGCGCAGACUCCUACGGUAGGCAGCAGUGGGAAAUAUUGCACAAUGGGCGCAAGUCAGAGACAGCAGCGCCGCGUGCGUGAUGACGGCCUGCGGGUGGUAAACCGCUUUGGCCUGUGACGAAGCGUGAGUGGCGGUAAUGGGUAAAGAAGCACCGGCUAACUACGUG